rnacentral:rRNA from 1 species
AGAUCAAAGGUGGCCUCUGCUUGCAAGCUACCGCUUGAGGAUGAUCCCGCGUCCCAUUAGCUUGUUGGUGGGGUAACGGCCCACCAAGGCGACGAUGGGUAGCUGGUCUGAGAGGAUGGUCAGCCACACUGGGACUGAGAUACGGCCCAGACUCCUACGGGAGGCAGCAGUCGAGAGGCUUCGGCAAUGGGGGAAACCCUGACCGAGCGACGCCGCGUGGGCGAUGAAGGCCGUAAGGUUGUAAAGCCCUGUCAAGAGGGAAGAAAUGCAGGUGUUCAAACAGGCCAUCUGUUUGACGGUACCUCUAGAGGAAGCUCCGGCUAACUCCGUGCCAGCAGCCGCGGUAAUACGGGGGGAGCGAACGUUGUUCGGAAUUACUGGGCGUAAAGGGCGCGUAGGCGGCAUGGUUAGUGGAAUGUGAAAUGCCCUGGCUCAACCAGGGAACUGCAUUCCAUACUGCCAAGCUUGAGUACAGGAGAGGAUGGGGGAAUUCCCGGUGUAGCGGUGGAAUGCAUUGAUAUCGGGAGGAACACCAGUGGCGAAGGCGCCCAUCUGGCCUGAUACUGACGCUCAGGCGCGAAAGCUAGGGGAGCAAACAGGAUUAGAUACCCUGGUAGUCCUAGCCGUAAACGGUGAGCACUAGGUGUAGGAGGCAUCGACCCCUCCUGUGCCGCAGCUAACGCAUUAAGUGCUCCGCCUGGGGAGUACGACCGCAAGGUUGAAACUCAAAGGAAUUGACGGGGCCCCGCACAAGCGGUGGAGCAUGUGGUUUAAUUCGAUGCAACGCGAAGAACCUUACCCAGGUUUGACAUGCACCGGACAGGUGUGGAAACACACCCUCCCUUCGGGGUCGGUGUACAGGUGCUGCAUGGCUGUCGUCAGCUCGUGUCGUGAGAUGUUGGGUUAAGUCCCGCAACGAGCGCAACCCUUGUCCUUAGUUGCCAGCGGAUAGUGCCGCGCACUCUAGGGAGACUGCCGUCGACAAGACGGAGGAAGGUGGGGAUGACGUCAAGUCCUCAUGGUCCUUAUACCUGGGGCUACACACGUGCUACAAUGGUCGGUACAGAGGGUUGCAAUACCGCGAGGUGGAGCUAAUCCCAAAAAGCCGGCCUCAGUUCGGAUUGUAGUCUGCAACUCGACUGCAUGAAGGCGGAAUCGCUAGUAAUCGCUGAUCAGCAGGCAGCGGUGAAUAUGUUCCCGGGGCUUGUACAC